AGCAGACUUACUGCACAUGCUCAGUGGCCUUCAGCCUCAUAAUCAGCACAGUCACAGAUAGUUCAGCUCAUUACUCACCUCCGGUGAGUAGCAGAGGAGGUUAUGUCCUGCAUAGUGUAAUGGGACCAUGAUUUGGGCACUACAAGUCCCAGCAGCCCCAGUGUUAUAUAAGGAAGUAGUGAAGUUUGUUUGCUCUUUCGCUUCCGCUUAUGAUUUCGGGGAUGUCGUGGCGGGUUUAGAAGUUGAAAAGAAUGGGUUGUGGCUGGAUUAUUGCCUGACUGAUGGUUGCCUGACUGUCCCAGUCGAAAAUAGUGGAUGUUAGAGGUAUUGUUUAAUAUAAAGGGAGCUUUUUAUGUUUUAAAUUGUGUAGUAUUUAUAGUGAGUGCAUUUUAUUUGAAUCAUGUGUUUUUAUAUCUUCAUAUUCAUUUGUUGUAAUAGACUGUGGUUUCCCUUUUAGGAUGCACGGUUACCAUUUACUUUAGAUUUAAUACUUUUGUUAUUGUUUUUUAUUUAUUUUGUUCUGUGAAUUUGGGACCCAGAGUGUCAGAGGAGAGAUUAGGCCCCAAAGAAACUGGAUUAAUAGUGACUGUUACAAUGCUGACUUGUGUUUGUGUCACCUCCUGCAUUGCCCACUGUUAAUUAAGUUGUUUAUUCUUUUCUUUUUUAGGUUCAGUUUUGGUUUCUUGAGCCAAUGGUGGCCACUGAGUUGCCCUCACUGUGUGGAUGGCGGUGGUGAGGUAGCUGGGAUUGUGUGGUGGUUUGAUCACUUUAUCUUUGUUUUUCCUGUAGGUUUGCAGUGUGAUUGCUGUGAGCUUGACUGCUGAGAGGACACUUUUGCUCUUGUGCCACUUCUGUCUUCACUUUCUAGGUAAACUGUGGCCAUCUAUUGUUGGUUUUCUUUUCAUUGUUUCUUAUUUUUCUUUUAAUUUUUUUCUCAUGUGGGUAUUUGCAUCAAGUAUUGGUGAUGUGGUGUUUUAAUAUUUUUGACCUGUCUGAAUAAAAAUGUGCCUGUUGAUUUUAAAGUCACCUCAUGGCCCCUUUGGCCUGUUUACUACUGACUUUUAAAGGUCAUCCCACCACAAUAGGAAGAAGUCCUGUCGUCAAACAUGUAACUAUAUCAUUCACUUAAGGAAAUUGAGCUUUAUAAACAGCAGUUAUUUUAAAAUUGGAAUAUCCUUGGAAUCUGAUCUCCUAAUCCCUCGGAGAUAUAAUGGCUCCAAGCACAAGUAAGACCCUCCAGGGAUUUCCUGAUUUCAGUUCUAAUUGGAGUUCAACCUGCAAGUGAAAUCCUGCCCAAUUCCCAAAAACAGCAUUGAUCUUUGAAUCAGUGA
rnacentral:lncRNA from 1 species